GUCAAGUACAAAGAGCAUCAGGUGGAUGCCUUGGCACUGGGAGCCGAUGAAGGACGUGAUAAGCUGCGAUAAGCUGCGGUAAGGAGCACAUAUCCGAUAUACCCGCAGAUUUCCGAAUGGGGGAACCCACAUACGGUAAUGCGUAUGUAUCAUUAAGUGAAUACAUAGCUUAAUGAAGGGAACGGGGUGAACUGAAACAUCUAAGUAGCCCUAGGAAGAGAAAGAAAAAUCGAUUUCCUUAGUAGCGGCGAGCGAAAGGGAAAGAGGCCAAACCAGACUGUUUACAGUUUGGGGUUGUGGACCACCAACAUUGACGAAGUUAUGCAAGCCGAAUAGAACUGGAAAGUUCAAGCAGAGAAGGUAAUACUCCUGUAGGCGAAAGCAGAAAGCGCAUAGGUGGCACCAGAGUAGGACCGGACACGUGUAACCCGGCCUGAAGCAGGAGGGACCACCCUCCAAGCCUAAAUACUACCCAGUGACCGAUAGCGAAUAGUACCGUGAGGGAAAGGUGAAAAGAACCCCGGGAGGGGAGUGAAAUAGAAUCUGAAACCUGAUGCUUACAAGCAUAGGGAGCGCAAGUGACCUAGUACUUUUUGUAGAACGGGCCAACGAGUUAUGGUAUGUAGCGAGGUUAAGUUGCUGGAGCAACGGAGCCGUAGAGAAAUCGAGUCUGAAUAGGGCGAGAGUUACAUGCUGUAGACCCGAAACCGGGUGACCUAUCCAUGAGCAGGUUGAAGUAACCGUAAAAGGUUAUGGAGGACCGAACCUAUAUCUGUUGAAAAAGGUUAGGAUGACUUGUGGAUAGCGGUGAAAUUCCAAUCGAACUCGGAUAUAGCUGGUUCUCCUCGAAAUAGCUUUAGGGCUAGCCUCAAGGUAAAGAUACACGGGGGUAGAGCACUGACUGUUCGCGGGGCCUUCACCGGUUACCAACAACUAUCAAACUCCGAAUACCGUGCUAUCAUACUUGGGAGUCAGACUAUGAGAGAUAAGUUCCAUGGUCGAAAGGGAAACAGCCCAGAUCAACAGCUAAGGUCCCAAAGAGUAAGUUAAGUGGAAAAGGAUGUGGGAUUGCACAAACAGCUAGGAUGUUGGCUUAGAAGCAGCCAUACAUUUAAAGAGUGCGUAAUAGCUCACUAGUCGAGUGAUCCUGCGCCGAAGAUAAACGGGGCUCAAACUUACCACCGAAGCUUUGGAAUUAGUAUAACUAAUUGGUAGAGGAGCAUUCUAUACAGGCAGAAGGAGGCGCGUAAGCAAAUCUGGACAGUAUAGAAGAGAGAAUGUUGGCAUGAGUAGCGUAAGGCGGGUGAGAAUCCCGUCCGCCGAAAAUCUAAGGUUUCCUGAGGAAGGUUCGUCCUCUCAGGGUAAGUCGGGACCUAAGCCGAGAGCAAACGCUGUAGGCGAUGGAUAACAGGUUGAUAUUCCUGUACCACCAAGGAUUGUUUGAAUGAAGUGGGGACACAGAAGGAUAGAUUGAGCACGCCGUUGGUUGAGCGUGUCCAAGCAGUGAGGCUUGAAAGUAGGCAAAUCCGCUUUCUAUAAGGUUGAGCUGUGAUGGGGUGGUCGUAUGACCGGUAGCAAUCGAUUUCACGCUGUCAAGAAAAGCCGCUAAUGAGAUCCAAGGUGCCCGUACCGCAAACCGACACAGGUAGAUGAGGAGAGAAUCCUAAGGUGAGCGAGAGAACUAUUGUUAAGGAACUCGGCAAAAUAACCCCGUAACUUCGGGAGAAGGGGUGCCUGCUUCGGCAGGCCGCAGUGAAGAGGUCCAGGCAACUGUUUACCAAAAACACAGGUCUCUGCUAAAGCGAAAGCUGAUGUAUAGGGGCUGACGCCUGCCCGGUGCUGGAAGGUUAAGGGGAAGUGUUAGGGCAACCGAAGCACAGAACUUAAGCCCCAGUAAACGGCGGCCGUAACUAUAACGGUCCUAAGGUAGCGAAAUUCCUUGUCGGGUAAGUUCCGACC
rnacentral:rRNA from 1 species